CCGGGCUCCAGCGUUUCUCCUCCACUUCGCUCCUGCUGUGCGCGGGAGCCGAGCCAAGGGCUCUUCUCUCACCCAAGCUGAGGCUGUUUCCCAGGCUGCUUGCCCUGAACACCUCCACCUCUGCCCUCUGCCAGCGACCCCUCUUCUUGGCCCAUGGAGCCCGUGGAUCUGCAAGCUCAGGGGAAGGAUAAGGAAAGGCUCACGACAGAAUGGCCCUUGGAGGAGCGCUGGAGCUGCAGAAAUAAGGAGAAUGCCUCCACCGUGGAUUUUGACACAGAGCAAGUCAGAGAUCCCGAGGAGGUCACACCUGCUGCCAGGGAGGGGCACUGCCAUCCAGAGAG
rnacentral:lncRNA from 1 species